GAAAUGUGAUGUGGACGAUACACUUCAUGUAGGUCUUGAUAUUAAGGUUGUGAAUGAGGACUCAUAGCUGUCUCACAAGCGACUUGAGGGAAAUGAACACGCUUGACCACUUUGAUCACAACUUACAUUGCAAGUAGGAAUGAUAUUUAACUGUUGAUGAUAGGUAGUCACUUACGGAUUAAUUUUUGGAAUAGUUUGAGAUGGUUGAUUGCCAUCUUUCCAUGUAUUCUAUGGACUAAAAACAUUUUUGGCCGUCAGAGUUUCAAUCAUACGGAAUCUGAUAUCCAGUAAGUUUUCAUGUUUGUUUAUAGCUACAAACAAACAUGAAAACUUACUGGAUAUCA
rnacentral:misc_RNA from 1 species